rnacentral:piRNA from 1 species
UAAGUGUACUGUCUGCUGAUUGGGGG